AAGUCGUAACAAGGUUUCCGUAGGUGAACCUGCGGAAGGAUCAUUCAUAGUAAGUGUUUUAUGGCACUUUUUUAAAUCCAUAUCCACCUUGUGUGCAAUGUCAGGGUUGAUUUCUUUCGAGAGAUCAGCCCCAAACAUCAACUAUUAUCUCAACUCUUUGUCUGAAAAAUAUUAUGAAUAAAACAAUUCAAAAUACAA
rnacentral:misc_RNA from 1 species